AUGCAAGUCGAACGGUAACAGGAAGAAGCUUGCUUCUUUGCUGACGAGUGGCGGACGGGUGAGUAAUGUCUGGGAAACUGCCUGAUGGAGGGGGAUAACUACUGGAAACGGUAGCUAAUACCNNNUAACGUCGCAAGACCAAAGAGGGGGACCUUCGGGCCUCUUGCCAUCGGAUGUGCCCAGAUGGGAUUAGCUAGUAGGUGGGGUAACGGCUCACCUAGGCGACGAUCCCUAGCUGGUCUGAGAGGAUGACCAGCCACACUGGAACUGAGACACGGUCCAGACUCCUACGGGAGGCAGCAGUGGGGAAUAUUGCACAAUGGGCGCAAGCCUGAUGC
rnacentral:rRNA from 1 species